rnacentral:rRNA from 1 species
CAGGGAUUGCCUCAGUAACGGCGAGUGAAGCGGCAACAGCUCAAAUUUGAAAUCUGGCCCCCCGGCCCGAGUUGUAAUUUGCAGAGGAUGCUUCUGGCGCGGUGCCUUCCAAGUCCCCUGGAACGGGGCGCCAUAGAGGGUGAGAGCCCCGUCUGGUUGGCCGCCAAGCCUGUGUGAAGCUCCUUCGACGAGUCGAGUAGUUUGGGAAUGCUGCUCUAAACGGGAGGUAGACCCCUUCUAAAGCUAAAUACCGGCCAGAGACCGAUAGCGCACAAGUAGAGUGAUCGAAAGAUGAAAAGCACUUUGAAAAGAGGGUUAAACAGUACGUGAAAUUGUUGAAAGGGAAGCGCUUGUGACCAGACGUGCGCCGGGUGUUCAGCGGGCGUUUUCGCCCGUGCAUUCGCCCCGGCGCAGGCCAGCGUCGGUUCGGGCGGGGGGAUAAAGGCGUCAGGAACGUAUCUCCCCCGGGAGUGUUAUAGCCUGGCGCGUCAUGCCCCCGCCUGGACCGAGGUUCGCGCUCCGCAAGGACGCUGGCGUAAUGGUCCCCAGCGGCCCGUCUUGAAACACGGACCAAGGAGUCGAGGUUUUACGCGAGUGUCUGGGUGUCAAACCCGCACGCGUAAUGAAAGUGAACGUAGGUGGGAGCUUCGGCGCACCACCGACCGAUCCUGAUGUUUUCGGAUGGAUUUGAGUAGGAGCGUAGGGCCUCGGACCCGAAAGAUGGUGAACUAUACUUGGAUAGGGUGAAGCCAGAGGAAACUCUGGUGGAGGCUCGCAGCGGUUCUGACGUGCAAAUCGAUCGUCAAAUCUGAGUAUGGGGGCGAAAGACUAAUCGAACCAUCUAGUAGCUGGUUACCGCCGAAGUUUCCCUCAGGAUAGCAGUGUUGGUCUCAGUUUUAUGAGGUAAAGCGAAUGA